CCUACGGGUGGCAGCAGUGAGGAAUAUUGGUCAAUGGGCGAGAGCCUGAACCAGCCAAGUCGCGUGAAGGAUGAAGGAUCUAUGGUUUGUAAACUUCUUUUAUAUGGGAAUAAAGUGAGGAACGUGUUCCUUUUUGUAUGUACCAUAUGAAUAAGCAUCGGCUAACUCCGUGCCAGCAGCCGCGGUAAUACGGAGGAUGCGAGCGUUAUCCGGAUUUAUUGGGUUUAAAGGGUGCGUAGGUGGUUAAUUAAGUCAGCGGUGAAAGUUUGUGGCUCAACCAUAAAAUUGCCGUUGAAACUGGUUGACUUGAGUAUAUUUGAGGUAGGCGGAAUUCGUGGUGUAGCGGUGAAAUGCUUAGAUAUCACGAAGAACUCCGAUUGCGAAGGCAGCUUACUAAACUGCCACUGACAUUGAUGCUCGAAAGUGUGGGUAUCAAACAGGAUUAGAUACCCUUGUAGUC
rnacentral:rRNA from 1 species